UGAGGAAUAUUGCGCAAUGGAGGAAACUCUGACGCAGCCAUGCCGCGUGAGUGAAGAAGGCCUUAGGGUUGUAAAGCUCUUUCAGUAGCGAAGAUAAUGACGGUAACUACAGAAGAAGCCCCGGCUAAAUUCGUGCCAGCAGCCGCGGUAAUACGAAUGGGGCAAGCGUUGUUCGGAAUCACUGGGCUUAAAGCGUGCGCAGGCGGAUAUGAAAGUCAGGAGUGAAAUCCCAGGGCUCAACCCUGGAACUGCUCUUGAAACUCCAUAUCUAGAAUCCGGUAGAGGUUAGGAGAAUUCCGAGUGUAGAGGUGAAAUUCGCAGAUAUUCGGAGGAAUACCAGUGGCGUAGGCGCCUAACUGGACCGGCAUUGACGCUCAUGCACGAAAGCGUGGGGAGCAAACAGGAUUAGAUACCCCCGUAGUCC
rnacentral:rRNA from 1 species